rnacentral:rRNA from 1 species
GAUGAACGCUGACAGAAUGCUUAACACAUGCAAGUCGAUGGGGAAGUGGUGCUUGCACCAUGGCAACCAUGGCGGACGGGUGAGUAACGCGUAAGGGACUUACCUGCAGGACUGGGAUAACAGGGGGAAACUCCUGACAAGACCGGAUAAUGUCAUGGAGCUGCAUGGCUUUAUGAUGAAAGGAGACGCCUGCGGAGAGCCUUGCGUCCUAUUAGCUAGUUGGUGAGGUAAUGGCUCACCAAGGCGAAGAUAGGUAGCCGGCCUGAGAGGGUGGACGGCCACAAGGGGACUGAGAUACGUCCCUGACUCCUACGGGAGGCAGCAGUGGGGAAUAUUGGACAAUGGGGGCACCCCUGAUCCAGCAAUUCUGUGUGCACGAAGAAGGUUUUCGGAGUGUAAAGUGCUUUCAGCAGGGAAGAAGUAAGUGACGGUACCUGCAGAAGAAGCGACGGCUAAAUACGUG